UACGGAGGAUGCAAGCGUUAUCCGGAUUUAUUGGGUUUAAAGGGUGCGCAGGUUGUUUGAUAAGUCAGUGGUGAAAGUCUGUCGCUUAACGGUAGGAUUGCCAUUGAUACUGUUGGACUUGAAUAUGGAUGAGGUAGGCGGAAUGUGUAGUGUAGCGGUGAAAUGCAUAGAUAUUACACAGAACACCAAUUGCGAAGGCAGCUUACUAAUCCAUCAUUGACGCUGAGGCACGAAAGCGUGGGGAUCAAA
rnacentral:rRNA from 1 species